GGCACUACGGUGCUGAAGCAACAAAUGCCCUGCUUCCAGGAAAAGCCUCUAAGCAUCAGGUAACAUCAAAUCGUACCCCAAACCGACACAGGUGGUCAGGUAGAGAAUACCAAGGCGCUUGAGAGAACUCGGGUGAAGGAACUAGGCAAAAUGGUGCCGUAACUUCGGGAGAAGGCACGCUGACACGUAGGUGAAGUGAUUUACUCAUGGAGCUGAAGUCAGUCGAAGAUACCAGCUGGCUGCAACUGUUUAUUAAAAACACAGCACUGUGCAAACACGAAAGUGGACGUAUACGGUGUGACGCCUGCCCGGUGCCGGAAGGUUAAUUGAUGGGGUCAGCGCAAGCGAAGCUCCUGAUCGAAGCCCCGGUAAACGGCGGCCGUAACUAUAACGGUCCUAAGGUAGCGAAAUUCCUUGUCGGGUAAGUUCCGACCUGCACGAAUGGCGUAAUGAUGGCCAGGCUGUCUCCACCCGAGACUCAGUGAAAUUGAACUCGCUGUGAAGAUGCAGUGUACCCGCGGCAAGACGGAAAGACCCCGUGAACCUUUACUAUAGCUUGACACUGAACAUUGAGCCUUGAUGUGUAGGAUAGGUGGGAGGCUUUGAAGUGUGGACGCCAGUCUGCAUGGAGCCGGCCUUGAAAUACCACCCUUUAAUGUUUGAUGUUCUAACGUGGACCCGUGAUCCGGGUUGCGGACAGUGUCUGGUGGGUAGUUUGACUGGGGCGGUCUCCUCCUAAAGAGUAACGGAGGAGCACGAAGGUUGGCUAAUCCUGGUCGGACAUCAGGAGGUUAGUGCAAUGGCAUAAGCCAGCUUGACUGCGAGCGUGACGGCGCGAGCAGGUGCGAAAGCAGGUCAUAGUGAUCCGGUGGUUCUGAAUGGAAGGGCCAUCGCUCAACGGAUAAAAGGUACUCCGGGGAUAACAGGCUGAUACCGCCCAAGAGUUCAUAUCGACGGCGGUGUUUGGCACCUCGAUGUCGGCUCAUCACAUCCUGGGGCUGAAGUAGGUCCCAAGGGUAUGGCUGUUCGCCAUUUAAAGUGGUACGCGAGCUGGGUUUAGAACGUCGUGAGACAGUUCGGUCCCUAUCUGCCGUGGGCGCUGGAGAACUGAGGGGGGCUGCUCCUAGUACGAGAGGACCGGAGUGGACGCAUCACUGGUGUUCGGGUUGUCAUGCCAAUGGCACUGCCCGGUAGCUAAAUGCGGAAGAGAUAAGUGCUGAAAGCAUCUAAGCACGAAACUUGCCCCGAGAUGAGUUCUCCCUGAGACUUUAGGUCUCCUGAAGGAACGUUGAAGACGACGACGUUGAUAGGCCGGGUGUGUAAGCGCAGCGAUGCGUUGAGCUAACCGGUACUAAUGAACCGUGAGGCUUAACCUU
rnacentral:rRNA from 1 species